CUCACCCACCCCAGGGUCCUGAGAGGCUUGUGGAGUCGGCCCCCCGUCUCCUGUGGGGUCCUCCGAAGGUGCACACAGCCUGCUCCAAGCAGAGUCUCCGGGGGGAUGUCCAGGCACCCUCAGCCGCCCACAAUGGGCUUGUUUUCUGCUCAAGAUUCCCCAGACCUUCAGACCGUGCUUUUCCCCACCUGUCCCCAGUGUGCAGAGUCUUCAGGACCUGACACCACCCUGUUGGGACUGGGGAUCAGACACAGCCCCUGGCCUGCUGUGAGGGACCGCAGGCCAGGGAAGCCCUCUUCAGUGGUCAUCUCUCCACCAGGAUCUGGGUACCUCCCCCAGGAUGCUUCUGGCGCCUCUGCUGGUUUUGCCAAGAGCAGGACCCUCCUCACCUGUGGCCCCCGGACUCUGACACCCGAGGCCCCAGGGCCUCGGCUUGUCCUGGACCAUCUGGAUGCCACCCUCCCCCGCCUGUCCUGAUGCUGGGGGCAAGAGGGGAAGGAACAGGCCGGGGAAGACCUGUGGCCCUUCCCUCCCGUCCUCCCCUCUCCUGGGAACAAGAAAACAUUCCCCAACUGAGAAGUCAACUGGGCUCAAAAAUUGGUUUUCUCCUGAAAUCAUGGCCUUUGGAUGAGCAAGCAUAGCUGAAUCAGAAAAGCUGCGGGCUGAAGUCCAGCAGGUCCCAGGAUCUCGGGCAGCAGUGGAUCCCCCUUCCUUGGGAAAUUCGGAAGUCAGGCAGACAGAGCUGAAUCACUGCUCAGCAUGGAGGGAGGGGCAGGCGCGACCCUCCAGGAAGCCCCAUCCCCGCCCCGCCACCCCUCACAGGCUCGUGCAGUACCCGGAACCUCCAGGCCUGGCCCUCCCUGUGUCAGGGCUGGGGUGGGGGGCCCCCCAGCCCCUGGGGCUGUGGAACCAUCCUUGGGCUGUGGCCUGAGGGAGGCUGUGAAAACAGGCAACACAGCACCCACCUUCCUGGCUGUGUGACCUUUCUGUUUCCUUACCUGAGAAAAAUAGUUGUUGCCCUGUACUUAGCUCCAUCUGUGAAUGAAAGACUGCCUGCGUGUGGGCUGUGGAGGCGUCAGCUGUGAUGCUCUUUAGUCUUUGACCCGGUGGAAUUUAUUUUGCUGGGAGAGGUGAGGAAUGGGUCCAGUCCGUCCUGGAGGACCACUGGGACACCCAGCAACACUGAGCUCCCCAUGGGUGGAGUCUCCCCGGCUUUCUGCUCUGUUCACCUGCUGCAUCACGCUAUCUGGCGGCGGUGGUUUUAUGACCUGCUGCAUCCGGCAGGACUAAACCUCUCGUUGCUUCUCUCUCGUUUCUUGUUUAUUUUCCAUGUAGACGUCAGGAUAGCUUGCUUGCUUCUACAGAAAUCCGUUGCUGUUUUUACUGGAUUUCAUGACAUUUAUGGUUGACCAAAGAGGCAUCUGACGCCAUCUCAUCCCAGUGUCAGGCAGGACUGGGGGCUCACAACGCCUUCCCACAAGCUCCAACUUGGGCUUCCCGGGUGUCUGCCCAUGG